CCUACGGGAGGCAGCAGUGGGGAAUAUUGCGCAAUGGGGGAAACCCUGACGCAGCAACGCCGCGUGAGUGAGGAAGUAUCUCGGUAUGUAAAGCUCUAUCAGCGGGGACGAAGGAUGACGGUACCCGAAUAAUAAGCCCCGGCUAACUACGUGCCAGCAGCCGCGGUAAUACGUAGGGGGCGAGCGUUAUCCGGAUUUACUGGGUGUAAAGGGCGUGUAGACGGCGAUGCAAGCCAGAAGUGAAAGCCCGUGGCUUAACCGCGGAACUGCUUUGGGAACUGUGUGGCUGGAGUGAUGGAGAGGUAGGCGGAAUUCCUGGUGUAGCGGUGAAAUGCGUAGAUAUCAGGAGGAACACCAGUGGCGAAGGCGGCUUGCUGGACAGUGACUGACGUUGAGGCUCGAAAGCGUGGGGAGCGAACAGGAUUAGAUACCCUUGUAGUC
rnacentral:rRNA from 1 species